AUACUGCUUGCCUACGGGGGGCAGCAGUAGGGAAUCUUCCGCAAUGGACGAAAGUCUGACGGAGCAACGCCGCGUGAGUGAUGAAGGCCUUCGGGUCGUAAAGCUCUGUUGUUAGGGAAGAACAAGUACCGUUCAAAUAGGGCGGUACCAUGACGGUACCUAACCAGAAAGCCACGGCUAACUACGUGCCAGCAGCCGCGGUAAUACGUAGGUGGCAAGCGUUGUCCGGAAUUAUUGGGCGUAAAGGGCUCGCAGGCGGUUCCUUAAGUCUGAUGUGAAAGCCCACGGCUCAACCGUGGAGGGUCAUUGGAAACUGGGGAACUUGAGUACAGAAGAGGAGAGUGGAAUUCCACGUGUAGCGGUGAAAUGCGUAGAGAUGUGGAGGAACACCAGUGGCGAAGGCGACUCUCUGGUCUGUAACUGACGCUGAGGAGCGAAAGCGUGGGGAGCGAACAGGAUUAGAUACCCUGGUAGUCCACGCCGUAAACGAUGAGUGCUAAGUGUUAGAGGGUUUCCGCCCUUUAGUGCUGCAGCAAACGCAUUAAGCACUCCGCCUGU
rnacentral:rRNA from 1 species